rnacentral:rRNA from 1 species
GACGAACGCUGGCGGCGUGCUUAACACAUGCAAGUCGAGCGGUAAGGCCCUUUCGGGGGUACGACGAGCGGCGAACGGGUGAGUAACACGUGGGUGACCUGCCCUUAGCUCUGGGAUAAGCCUGGGAAACUGGGUCUAAUACCGGAUAUGACUCCAUGACGCAUGUUGUGGGGUGGAAAGCCUUGUGCGGCUAGGGAUGGGCCCGCGGCCUAUCAGCUUGUUGGUGGGGUGAUGGCCACCAAGGCGACGACGGGUAGCCGGCCUGAGAGGGCGACCGGCCACACUGGGACUGAGACACGGCCCAGACUCCUACGGGAGGCAGCAGUGGGGAAUCUUGCGCAAUGGGCGAAAGCCUGACGCAGCGACGCCGCGUGAGGGAUGACGGCCUGUUGUAA